rnacentral:misc_RNA from 1 species
GAUGAAGAAGUAGCAAAAUGCGAUACUUGGUGUGAAUUGCAGAAUCCCGUGAACCAUCGAGUUUUUGAACGCAAGUUGCGCCCGAAGCCUUUUGGCCGAGGGCACGUCUGCCUGGGCGUCACGCAUCGCGUCGCCCCCCACAAUUCUCCGUAAAGGGAACGUGUGUUUUGGGGGCGGAUAUUGGUCUCCCGUGCUCAUGGCGUGGUUGGCCGAAAUAGGAGUCCUUUCGAUGGACGCACGAACUAGUGGUGGUCGUAAAAACCCUCGUCUUUUGUUUCGUGCUGUUGCUCGCAAGGUAAACUCUUUAAAAACCCCAAUGUGUCGUCUCUUGACGACGCUUCGACCGCGACCCCAGGUCAGGCGGGACUACCCGCUGAGUUUAAGCAUAUCAAUAAGCGGAGGA